UGGGGAAUUUUGGACAAUGGGCGAAAGCCUGAUCCAGCAAUGCCGCGUGUGUGAAGAAGGCCUUCGGGUUGUAAAGCACUUUUGUCCGGAAAGAAAUCCUUGGCUCUAAUACAGUCGGGGGAUGACGGUACCGGAAGAAUAAGCACCGGCUAACUACGUGCCAGCAGCCGCGGUAAUACGUAGGGUGCAAGCGUUAAUCGGAAUUACUGGGCGUAAAGCGUGCGCAGGCGGUUUGCUAAGACCGAUGUGAAAUCCCCGGGCUCAACCUGGGAACUGCAUUGGUGACUGGCAGGCUAGAGUAUGGCAGAGGGGGGUAGAAUUCCACGUGUAGCAGUGAAAUGCGUAGAGAUGUGGAGGAAUACCGAUGGCGAAGGCAGCCCCCUGGGCCAAAUACUGACGCUCAUGCACGAAAGCGUGGGGAGCAAACAGGAUUAGAUACCCUGGGUAGUCCACGCCCUAAACGAUGUCAACUAGUUGUCGGGUCUUCAUUGACUUGGUAACGUAGCUAACGCGUGAAGUUGACCGCCUGGGGAGUACGGUCGCAAGAUU
rnacentral:rRNA from 1 species